rnacentral:rRNA from 1 species
GCGUGGGAAUUUGCCUUUUGGUACGGGAUAACGUUUGGAACGAACGCUAAUACCGUAUGUGAUCUACGGAUUAAAGAUUUAUCGCCAAGAGAUGAGCCCGCGUAGGAUUAGAUAGUUGGUGGGGUAAUGGCCUACCAAGUCUACGAUCUUUAGCUGUUCUGAGAGGAAGAUCAGCCACACUGGAACUGAGACACGGUCCAGACUCCUACGGGAGGCAGCAGUGGGGAAUAUUGGACAAUGGGCGCAAGCCUGAUCCAGCCAUGCCGCGUGAGUGAAGAAGGCCUUAGGGUUGUAAAGCUC